rnacentral:rRNA from 1 species
CUUGGUCAUUUAGAGGAAGUAAAAGUCGUAACAAGGUUACCUUCUGCAGCGCAGCUCUGGAGACCUUGCACCCCCUUAUGGGAGGCAGCACGACAGUAAACAAAGCUCGCCGCGUGCAAGUUGGCUUAGAUGUCAGCAACACAAUCGAAUUGACGGGGACCUCCUAAAGCCUGCAACACCAACCGUCCGGGGAAACUCGGGCGGGGCCCUCACGGGGGUGGUAAGAGAGUGCAGGAUGCUACAAUGGACGAUCCGCAGCGAAGACCCUACCGGCUAUUAAGCCCACGGGUGCCGUUCACAGACUAAGUGAUUGUGGGCGGGGCUUUCAUGUCCCGUCUAAGGUAUAGUCGGCCUCUAUGUGAAAGCCUAGAGAAGCGCGUCCGUAGGUGAACCUGCGGAAGGAUCAUUAAAGAAUGCCCCCGUUUUUUGAAAUGGGUAAUUCCCAAACCGUGUUUACAUUACCUUUGUUGCUUUGGCAGGCCGCCUUCUAGGCGUCGGCUCCGGCUGACUGCGCCUGCCAGAGGACCCAAACUCGUUUGUUUAGUGUCGUCUGAGUACUUAUAUAAUAGUUAAAACUUUCAACAACGGAUCUCUUGGUUCUGGCAUCGAUGAAGAACGCAGCGAAAUGCGAUAAGUAAUGUGAAUUGCAGAAUUCAGUGAAUCAUCGAAUCUUUGAACGCACAUUGCGCCCCUUGGUAUUCCGAGGGGCAUGCCUGUUCGAGCGUCAUUAUAACCACUCAAGCCCUGGCUUGGUAUUGGGGUUCGCGGUUCCGCGGCCCUUAAAAUCAGUGGCAGUGCCGUCUGGCUCUAAGCGUAGUAAUUCUCUCGCUACAGGGUUUAGGCGGUUGCUUGUCAGAACCCCCCUAUAUUUACAGGUUGACCUCGGAUCAGGUAGGGAUACCCGCUGAACUUAAGCAUAUCAAUAAGCGGAGGAAAAGAAACCAACAGGGGAUUGCCUUAGUAACGGCGAGUGAAGCGGCAACAGCUCAAAUUUGAAAUCUGGCUCUUUCAGGGUCCGAAUUGUAAUUUGUAGAAGAUGCUUUGGGUGUGGCUCCGGUCUAAGUUCCUUGGAACAGGACGUCAUAGAGGGUGAGAAUCCCGUACGUGACUGGGUGCCUUCGCUCGUGUAAAGCUCUUUCGACGAGUCGAGUUGUUUGGGAAUGCAGCUCAAAAUGGGUGGUAAAUUUCAUCUAAAGCUAAAUAUUGGCCAGAGACCGAUAGCGCACAAGUAGAGUGAUCGAAAGAUGAAAAGCACUUUGGAAAGAGAGUUAAACAGUACGUGAAAUUGUUGAAAGGGAAGCGCUUGCAACCAGACUUGCGCGCUGUUGAUCAUCCGAGGUUUUCCCCGGUGCACUCGGCAGCGUUCAGGCCAGCAUCGGUUUUGGUGGGCGGAUAAAGGCCUUGGGAAUGUAGCUUCUUUCGGGGAGUGUUAUAGCCCUCGGUGCAAUGCGCCCUACUAGGACCGAGGACCGCGCUUCGGCUAGGAUGCUGGCGUAAUGGUUGUAAGCGACCCGUCUUGAAACACGGACC